AGACAGAAAGAAAAGAAAGGAAAAGAGGGACGGAAAGGUCGGGACUCGGCCAUGUAGCUUAUUGGUUCAUUUUUUGCUUUUUUC
rnacentral:ribozyme from 11 species